UGCGGAGGAUCAUUGUCGAAACCUGCACAGCAGAACGACCCGCGAACACGUUUAAAACCAACCGGGGGAGGCCAGGGGACCUCGUGCCUCGGACCUCCCCCGAUCCGCCGGGAGCGAUCUCGGCGGCCUAACGAACCCCGGCGCGGUCUGCGCCAAGGAAUAGAAACGAACGAGCGCGCUCUCGCGGGGACCCGGGAACGGUGCUCUUCGCGAGAGUCGCGCGAUCUUCGAUAUGUCAAAACGACUCUCGGCAACGGAUAUCUCGGCUCUCGCAUCGAUGAAGAACGUAGCGAAAUGCGAUACUUGGUGUGAAUUGCAGAAUCCCGUGAACCAUCGAGUCUUUGAACGCAAGUUGCGCCCGAAGCCAUUAGGCCGAGGGCACGUCUGCCUGGGCGUCACACAUCGUUGCCCCCCCCCCCCCGCGCCUCGCUCUGCGAGCGCGCGUUCGGGCGGGGGCGGAGAUUGGCCUCCCGUGCGCGAUUAGCCUCGCGGUUGGCCCAAAAACGAGUCCUCGGUUGCGAGCGCCGCAACAUUCGGUGGUUGUCGAGCAUUCGGUGCCCCGUUGCGCGCGCUCUAGCACGUCGCGAGACCCUCGGAGACCCCCAACGCGCCUUAACUCGGCGCUCCAACGCGACCCCAG
rnacentral:misc_RNA from 1 species